AACGUAGGGGGCGAGCGUUGUCCGGAAUCACUGGGCGUAAAGGGUGCGUAGGCGGUCGAGCAAGUCUGGAGUGAAAGUCCAUGGCUCAACCAUGGGAUGGCUUUGGAAACUGCUUGACUUGAGUGCUGGAGAGGCAAGGGGAAUUCCACGUGUAGCGGUGAAAUGCGUAGAGAUGUGGAGGAAUACCAGUGGCGAAGGCGCCUUGCUGGACAGUGACUGACGCUGAGGCACGAAAGCGUGGGGAGCAAACAGG
rnacentral:rRNA from 1 species